AAUCUUUUGCCGCGUGUCUGCGCCUGAAUAUUACAGCCUAAUACAGCUAAGGUUGUGAAACGUGAGGGAUUUACCUUGGGAGAUUCCCGACAGAAACUUUCUAAAUAUAUGAAUUACUCAGUGAUAUUUUCAAAAUACACCCCGGUCUAAAAGAAAUAGUGCAAAAUGAAUCCCGGAGAAGAUUACAAGUCGAAAACAACCGAAGCUGUUGCCAUAGCAGCAAAUGGACCGCGGCAAAAUCAGCCUAACCCUGACAACGAAUACGUCAACAUACAGGUCAAGAAGGACCUAGAAGAGAAGACAAAGCUGAAAGAAGUAGCGAAGAAACAAGGCGACAAGAGCUGAAGCAGUGUGGUCAGAUGUUUGGCGUGAUUAACCGAUCUGGCGGAGACUUCAUUGAUAAAGACUCCGAGGACAUUUCUUCUAAUAGCACUUUUAACUUUAUUUAUUUGAAAUUUUUAAACUCUGUAACGUGUGUAAUUGAGAUUUCAAAUUUCAUUUUACAACUUGUAAAACCGUAUCUUUACGGAAUUUAUUCCAUCAAAAAAUAAAGAUAUGACUUGUACAGAAUUGGCUUGGCACCCUUAUUUGAAGGAACACGUGCAGCAUACGUUAAAUGGGUUGGGUGUUAUGCCUGGCGUUUUCGGUAUGAUGAUUCAGUGAGACAGCACUAUUCAUAUACCACAGUCUCGUUUUUGGACGGAGGAAAUCGCUCACCUGCGGGAUUCAUGGUAAAACAUUUGUGGCGAUCUCCCUAGCAGGACUAGGUUUAGCCUGUGUAAGUAUGAUGUGACU